AUGACAGGAAGUUGGGCUCGGCGAGCGGGUGGGUGCGCCUCGGGCCGCGGGAGUCGCCGCGGCUGCUGCCGCCGCCUCUACGGCCGCGUCAGAACUGAAGAGAGGAAGGGGAGGAGCCGAGUGGAGCCUAAGCUGCCGCCUGAUCUUACCCCUGACCCGAGGGCGGCGGAGAGAGCUUGCUCCGUAGCGGUUUCCUUCAGAGCAGGUGGUGACUGCUCCUUGGCGAGCAAGGAGGAGGCCCAGGCCGGGCAGCCCGCUCGGGCGCGCACCACCCGAAGGUGAGGCAUUUGGCCCCAAACAGGCCUUUCAAAAGCCCGACUGAGCGAGAAGUUAUCUUUCAGCUUGAUCCCCGGCACCUGCUCCGGGGAGCGAGAGCCCCACCCUUU